rnacentral:tRNA from 1 species
GCCGGCAUAGCUCAACUAGGUAGAGCAGCUGAAUCGUAAUCAGCAUGUUGGGGGUUCAAAUCCUCUUGCCGGCUCCA